UACGUAGGGUGCAGGCGUUAAUCGGAAUUACUGGGCGUAAAGCGUGCGCAGGCGGUCUUUUAAGUCAGAUGUGAAAUCCCCGGGCUUAACCUGGGAACUGCGUUUGAAACUGAAAGGCUAGAGUGUGGCAGAGGGGGGUGGAAUUCCACGUGUAGCAGGUGAAAUGCGUAGAGAUGUGGAGGAACACCGAUGGCGAAGGCAGCCCCCUGGGCUAACACUGACGCUCAUGCACGAAAGCGUGGGGAGCAAACAGG
rnacentral:rRNA from 1 species